CCUACGGGACGCAGCAGUGGGGAAUAUUGCACAAUGGGGGAAACCCUGAUGCAGCGAAGCCGCGUGAGUGAAGACGUAUCUCGGUACGUAAAGCUCUAUCAGCAGGGAAGAAAAUGACGGUACCUGCCUAAGAAGCCCCGGCUAACUAAGGUCCAGCAGCGGCGGUAAUACGUAGGGGGCAAGCGUUAUACGGAUUUACUGGGUGUAAAGGGAGCGUAGACGGCAGCACAAGUCUGGAGUGAAAUCCCGGGGCUUAACCCCGGAACUGCUUUGGAAACUGUGCGGCUGGAGUGCAGGAGGGGUAAGCGGAAUUCCUAGUGUAGCGGUGAAAUGCUUAGAUAUUAGGAGGAACACCGGUGGCGAAGGCGGCUUACUGGACUGUAACUGACGUUGAGGCUCGAAAGCGUGGGGAGCAAACAGGAUUAGAUACCCUUGUAGUC
rnacentral:rRNA from 1 species